rnacentral:rRNA from 1 species
UACGGGGGGGGCAAGCGUUGUUCGGAAUUACUGGGCGUAAAGGGCUCGUAGGCGGCCAACUAAGUCAGACGUGAAAUCCCUCGGCUUAACCGGGGAACUGCGUCUGAUACUGUAUGGCUUGAGUUCGGGAGAGGGAUGCGGAAUUCCAGGUGUAGCGGUGAAAUGCGUAGAUAUCUGGAGGAACACCGGUGGCGAAGGCGGCAUCCUGGACCGAUACUGACGCUGAGGAGCGAAAGCCAGGGGAGCAAACGGG